GUGGGGAAUAUUGGACAAUGGGCGCAAGCCUGAUCCAGCAAUGCCGCGUGGGUGAAGAAGGUCUUCGGAUCGUAAAGCCCUUUCGACAGGGACGAUGAUGACGGUACCUGUAGAAGAAGCCCCGGCUAACUUCGUGCCAGCAGCCGCGGUAAUACGAAGGGGGCUAGCGUUACUCGGAAUUACUGGGCGUAAAGGGCGCGUAGGCGGCUCUGUUAGUCAGGCGUGAAAUUCCUGGGCUUAACCUGGGGACUGCGCUUGAUACUGCAGGGCUUGAAGCCGAGAGAGGGUGGUGGAAUUCCCAGUGUAGAGGUGAAAUUCGUAGAUAUUGGGAAGAACACCGGUGGCGAAGGCGACCACCUGGCUCGGUUCUGACGCUGAGGCGCGACAGCGUGGGGAGCAAACAGGAUUAGAAACCCCAGUAGUCC
rnacentral:rRNA from 1 species